UCGGCCCUAGCCUCCUCUACCCUGCGCGCCGUGCCCGCCCCGCCCCGCCCCGCCCGACGGCCGUGACUCAGCAGGAAGGCGUGACCGGACCCGGCCGGAAGGGCUGAGAUAUGAUUUGAACACCUUCUGUGCGUGAGUUCCUACGCACAAAGUUGGGCCCAACAGACCCAGACCCAAUCCUCAAAGGCCCCCCGGGCUAGUGGAAGAUACCGUGAAGUCAGCAGUCUGCUGAGAUGCAGGGUCCUCCUCCCACCAGUGACACAGUGGGUCUCAGAGAGCUCUGACAAAUGGAGACAAAGCCAUUACUGCCAAGAGCUGAUGGAGUUUGGAGCUAAAGUGUCUGCCUCACUCCUUGGCUGGGAGCCAGGAC